rnacentral:lncRNA from 1 species
AAGCAGACUGGUAAGAAGCAUGUAGAUGAAGACAUGUAAGUACUUGUAGAGUGAAAAGAAGACUGAGAGAAGAAACAUGAAAGGAAGAAGAAAGACAACUGCCACCCAAAAUGGAGCAACUGGAAAACUAUCAAGAACAUUGUAAAAAAUGGCCUUUACUAUAGAAAUGUUUGCUUGCCGUUGGACUAAAGCUUAUGAGGAAUCCUUUAAAAGAAACACUUCUGCUAUAUCUAAGUGCAGCAAACAUUUUUCAUUAGUUUUGGCAAACAUGCUGCUGGUAACGUCUGACACUUCCAAUCCCAUCAUAAGAGACUAUUAAAUCUGAUCAGAAGAACAGCAUUCAGCUGAAGGUCAUGUAACUGGAUGGAAAAUGUAUGUGGAGCAGCUGAGGUCCCUUGAUUUGUUCUGCCUAGCAAAGAGGAGACUUAGGGGAGACCAGAGCUGCCUAUGUCUUCCUCAUGAAAGGAGUGGAUGGGCAGGCACUGAUCUAUUCUCACAGUGUAGUUCUUCUUGUCCUGUCAGAUAAGGGCAUAUUGACUGACCAUCUAAUUACACUCUCAUUAAUACUGGUAAGUCAAAAGAAGUGUGAG